UGACGCUGGCGGUAGGCUUAACACAUGCAAGUCGAGCGAGAAAGUAUCUUCGGAUAUGAGUAGAGCGGCGGACGGGUGAGUAACGCGUAGGAAUCUACCUAGUAGAAGGGGAUAGCCCGGGGAAACUCGGAUUAAUACCGUAUACCUCCUUCGGGAGAAAGAAGGCCUCUCUUUGAAGCUUUCGCUAUUAGAUGAGCCUGCGUAAGAUUAGCUUGUUGGUGAGGUAAAGGCUCACCAAGGCAACGAUCUUUAGCGGGUCUGAGAGGACGAUCCGCCACAUUGGGACUGAGACACGGCCCAGACUCCUACGGGAGGCAGCAGUGGGGAAUAUUGGACAAUGGGCGCAAGCCUGAUCCAGCCAUACCGCGUGUGUGAAGAAGGCCCUAGGGUUGUAAAGCACUUUAAGUUGGGAAGAAAAGUUAUUGGUUAAUACCCAAUAACCGUGACAUUACCAUCAGAAUAAGGACCGGCUAAUUCCGUGCCAGCAGCCGCGGUAAUACGGAAGGUCCAAGCGUUAAUCGGAAUUACUGGGCGUAAAGCGCGCGUAGGUGGUUUAUUAAGUUGGAUGUGAAAUCCCCGGGCUCAACCUGGGAACUGCAUCCAAAACUGAUUCACUAGAGUACGAUAGAGGGAGGUAGAAUUCACAGUGUAGCGGUGGAAUGCGUAGAUAUUGUGAAGAAUACCAAUGGCGAAGGCAGCCUCCUGGAUCUGUACUGACACUGAGGUGCGAAAGCGUGGGUAGCGAACAGGAUUAGAUACCCUGGUAGUCCACGCCGUAAACGAUGUCAACUAGCUGUUGGGGAACUAUGUUCUUCAGUGGCGCAGCUAACGUAGUAAGUUGACCGCCUGGGGAGUACGGCCGCAAG
rnacentral:rRNA from 1 species